rnacentral:rRNA from 1 species
AACGGCGAGUGAACGGGGAAGAGCCCAGCGCCGAAGCCCCCGUCCCUCGCGGGCGGCGGGCAAUUUGGCGUUUGGGAGGAGCCGCUACCCUCUGGUUUACGGGAGCCCAAGUCCCCCUGACCGGGGCCAUCGCCCGUGGCGGGUGCAAGGCCCGUGCGGCUCUCCGGAGCCAGAGGAUGGCUCUCUUCCCGGGAGUCGGGUUGCUUGGGAGUGCAGCCCUAAGCGGGUGGUAAACUCCACCUAAGGCUAAAUACUGCCACGAGACCGAUAGCAAACAAGUACCGUGAGGGAAAGUUGCAAAGAACUUUGAAGAGAGAGUUCAAGAGUACGUGAAACCGCUCGGAGGCAAACGGGUGGGCCCUCGAAGGCUGACGGAAGGGGAUUCAACCCGUUGCCCGGCCGCGCUCCGUGGUUCCUCUCUGGACGGAUCCGAGGGACCGGUCCACGGGCUUUUCUGCUGCGGCCGUCAGCGGGCGCACUUCCCC